rnacentral:rRNA from 1 species
AGUGAACGCUGGCGGUAGGCCUAACACAUGCAAGUCGAACGGCAGCACAGUAAGAGCUUGCUCUUACGGGUGGCGAGUGGCGGACGGGUGAGGAAUACAUCGGAAUCUACUUUUUCGUGGGGGAUAACGUAGGGAAACUUACGCUAAUACCGCAUACGACCUACGGGUGAAAGCAGGGGAUCUUCGGACCUUGCGCGAUUGAAUGAGCCGAUGUCGGAUUAGCUAGUUGGCGGGGUAAAGGCCCACCAAGGCGACGAUCCGUAGCUGGUCUGAGAGGAUGAUCAGCCACACUGGAACUGAGACACGGUCCAGACUCCUACGGGAGGCAGCAGUGGGGAAUAUUGGACAAUGGGCGCAAGCCUGAUCCAGCCAUACCGCGUGGGUGAAGAAGGCCUUCGGGUUGUAAAGCCCUUUUGUUGGGAAAGAAAAGCAGCAGGUUAAUACCCCGCUGUUCUGACGGUACCCAAAGGAUAAGCACCGGCUAAC